rnacentral:rRNA from 1 species
UAGGGUCAGCGACUGGGGUGAAGUCGUAACAAGGUAGCCGUAGGGGAACCUGCGGCUGGAUCACCUCCUUU